rnacentral:rRNA from 1 species
UACGGAGGGUGCAAGCGUUAAUCGGAAUUACUGGGCGUAAAGCGUGCGUAGACGGUUAUGUAAGUCGGGUGUGAAAGCCCCGGGCUCAACCUGGGAAUGCCAUUCGAGACUGCAUAGCUAGGGUGCGGAAGAGGGAAGCGGAAUUUCCGGUGUAGCGGUGAAAUGCGUAGAUAUCGGAAGGAACACCAGUGGCGAAAGCGGCUUCCUGGUCCAGCACCGACGUUCAGGCACGAAAGCGUGGGGAGCAAACAGG